AGCAGCCGCGGUAAUUCCAGCUCCAAUAGCGUAUAUUAAAGUUGUUGCAGUUAAAAAGCUCGUAGUUGAAUUUCGGGAUUGACGUGAUGGUCAUGCCUUAAGGGGUAUGAACUGUUACAGUUGAUUUCUCACCUUCUGGAGAAACUUGAUGUCCUUUAUUGGGUGUCUUGCGGAUCCAGGACCUUUACCUUGAAAAAAUUGGAGUGUUUAAAGCAGGCAUUUUUGCUCGAAUACAUUAGCAUGGAAUAAUAGAAUAGGACGGCAUGGUUCUAUUUUGUUGGUUUCUAGGAUCACCGUAAUGAUUAAUAGGGAUAGUUGGGGGCAUUAGUAUUCAAUUGUCAGAGGUGAAAUUCUUGGAUUUUAUUGAAGACUAACUACUGCGAAAGCAUUUGCCAAGGAUGUUUUCAUUAAUCAAGAACGAAAGUUAGGGGAUCGAAGACGAUCAGAUACCGUCGUAGUCUUAACCAUAAACUAUGCCGACUAGGAAUCAGACGAUGUUAAUUUUUAAUGACUCGUUUU
rnacentral:rRNA from 1 species